rnacentral:lncRNA from 1 species
GAUUGGCUAGUACAAGAGGCGGAUUCAUUUGACUGAUUUGUUUAAGCCAAGAGGGGAGUACGUGCUGAACUACAUGGUUUCCCAACAUGCUAUCAACCACCAUAAACUACUGGGAGUGUCAUCUGACAUCCAAGGUAUUUUCCCUGUCUCAUGCUGAUUGGUGGUUGCUAGGGGGUUGCUAUGGGUCUUCACCUAGCCUGACUGAGUCAGGGACACCUGCACAGCAGAUCUCUCCUGUUAUUUAUAGAAAAACAACUCAUCAGGGUGGGUGUGUGCCUAGGAGUGUUCUGUGGGUCUUUCCAAUGACAAGGGUCACGCCCCCUUCCUUGGACAGGCUUUGCUCUGAGGUAGAGGUUGGUUUUUCAAUAUAACCUGCUUGAGAAUCCUAAGUACUGUUUUUUUUUUUUUAAAUGGCUUUUAUAUAAGUCCUAUUAAAAUCUUCUAGCAACAUAAAUAUUGGUCUCUUUAAUUUGUAUCCUUAUGGAUAUGAUGACUUUUUUAUGUUGCUUUGGAAGAAAAUUGACAGAACUUUAUUAUCUCUUCUAUCUUAACAUACUUCAUAAUCCUUUACAUAUAUUUUAAAUAAUAAAAAGGUAUAAGUCUAUGGAAGAAAAAAUAUUGAUGAAAAACCACAGAUGUUCUUGGCUAAUUUUCCACUAAAUUAUCAUUGAAUUAUAUCUGUUCUCUACCCAUGUAAAUUCUCUGUUGGAAAAGAAAGUACCAAAUUAAUUUUAGAUUCAGUUAGCCAAAGAAAUUAGUUACAUUCUAAUAUGUAUAUGACCCAGGCUUCUGAAUUAUUUUUUGCACCAAUUUGUUAGCUCAUAGAGAGCAUUAUUUAUCAUCUAAGUUUGUAGGUGAAAACAAACCUUGAUGGACCCAGUAAGAUAGUUGGAAAUACUUCAAUCUAGGGAGUAUAAUUGGUUCCAAAUGAACUUAGUUUUGAGGAAUUAAAUUAGGAGAAAUAAAAUUAUAUUCAGAUACGUCAUCCUAAGAAGACUAGCCAUUUGGAAUCCUUUACCUAUAUUCUUAAUGGAAAGUACAAAGUAUAGGUAUGUCUAACUUAGAGUUAUAUCUAGAACCAACCUGAGUAUAUACGGGGGUAAACAGAUAAACACAAUCUGAUGAUGGUUAACUCAGAAUUUACAGUAGUCCCCUAAUGUUGUGGACACUGAAUAACCAAUACUGGUCCAUUGCUCUUAGGGGAAAUACAUGACUAGGUUCCUCUGAGUCUCUGUUCAUAGUGUUGUUGUCAAAUGAUCAAUAUGUAACCUUGUUUUAUGUGUGUUUCUGUUUUGUUUGUUUUGGGGUGGUGGGGAUCAAACAUAAGGCCUCACACACUCUAGACAAGUGGUCUAUCACUGAGCUAUAUCCCCAGUCCUGUCUUAUGUUUUAAAACAUCUUAAUUCACCAUGUAUUGUUGAUUCAUUAGCAUUGGCCCAUUGGCCAGCAGCACUUCAACUCCUGCAUAAAUAAUACCGAACACAUUUAUUUUCUCAAUAAAGCACAUCACAACCUCUGGUGAACACUAGGCAGCACUUCAGCUGUUUUAAGAUAUUAAAGACUAUCUAUGGGCUGGGGAUGUAGCUCAGUUGGUAGAAUGCUUGCCUCACUAGAGCCAUUAUCUGGGGGUUGCUUUAAAUAUCAAAAUCACCAACAAAAAUAUGUAAAACAUGGUUUUAAUUAGAUUAUACAAAGAAUAGUUAUUUACAGUAUAAAAACUGAAACAAGAAGGCAGAACAAUUGCUUUGUUUUCCUCACCAGUGAAUGUGUGUCUCAGAUAAUAAAAAAAUUUCUCCAUUCUGUGUAUAUCUGUAAAUGACUGCUAAAGCUCUUUCAGUAUUGACUUUAAGGUUAAAAAUAAAUUUUAUCAAUUAGGUAAAUUCACAAUAAGUCUUCUAAUAAUAAGGAUUGACUUUAUGUCAGACCAAUAGUAAUACUUUCCCUUUAAAUAUAUACUUUCUCAAAACAUUGCUGUUUGGCAUAUCAUAACACUGAGAAAGUAAGAUUUUACUGGAAAGUUGGGACUGAAUGAAGAAGGUAUAAUUUUAAAAUGAAGGGAGAGACACUACAGUUCCAAAUACACAUAAAUUUCUGAAGUCUAUGGAAGUCUAAAUUUUUUGUAACAGUGAUAUGAUUCUCAUUUUCUGUUGCUUUUGGUAAUUUUUGAUAGAUGUUUCCUUGCAAGUCAUAUAAAAACACUGUGUUGUCUUACUGCUGUAUGUCUACAGGACCAUCCUACCUCUUGGUUGAAAAAGUUACUGUGAAACAAAAAUGCAAAUAUCAACAACCUCAGAAGGAAUUUCAAGGGGGAAAUUCCAUUAAAUUUAUAAGCAAUUGUGUUCAGUUUGAAUUUCCUUAAAUGCAACACAAAUUAUGUUAGGUUUACCAUUUAGUCUUAGAGUUAGCCAUUCUGUUAUCAGUUGGAGAGUCUGUUCAAUUUGUACUAUAUGGUAAUUCCAGGAACUAAAGUACAACAUCUUGAAGAAAAUAAAAUGGCUCCAGGAGAAGACAAAAACUCCCAAACUUCUUAAAUUUGUGUUCUGAAUGAAUUUGAAUCCUGCUAAGUCAUUUAACUCUCUCAGCUUUGUUCUCAAGAGAUUCACAGAGUGUUUUAUAACCUCUUAGCAAAUUAUAAUUCUACAUCUCUCUCAAAUUACAGAGUCAUCCAUUUUCAUUGUUCUUUAAAAUCUAUCCUGCUGGGUGUUGUCUCUAAGUACUUAAUAUCUUUUAGGCAUAACCAAUCUACUAUCAAGCAUAAUUGUAUUCUUCCCUGUUCUGAAGAAAAACCCAAUACCUUUCACAACAUUGACUCAUGUAUCAUCAACUAAUAUUAAUCAUUGACUGUAUCCCAGACACUAUGUUAGGCCAAAGAUCAUGGUUGUCUUUUUUACCUUAAGGGAAAGAAUCAAAAUUCAAACAUGGACACAAAGCUUCUGCAGUUUAUAAUUCACCAAGGUUUAUCAUCUGUGAAAGCAAGUGACAAUAAUAUAUUGAUAUUAACUAUAUAUUGAAUUAAAAAUUGGCUUAAAAAUGGAUUCAGAUCCAAUCUGCCUAUAUUUUCUCUAAAGAGAAGAAGCUGUGUGAUCCCAGCUCUGAGAUCAACUAUACUUUCUUGGGUCAGGCACUUACUCUCUUUUUUUGAGUCUCUAUUUGUAACAUGUAGGUGUUGAGUUAGAGGAAAUAUGGUAAGAUUUUAUUAGUUUUUAGGGACUGGAUUUUAUACUGGAUUAAAUAUAUCAUGAAACUGGCAAAUAGAGAUACUCCAAAGACCAAUGGUCAUCAAGAGUUUAGGACUCCAGGAGCCAAGCACAGUGGUGCACAACAGUAUUCCCAGUGUUUCAGGAGGCUGAGGCAGAAGGAUCCCACGUUCAAGGCCAGUUUAUGCAACUUGGCAAGAACCUGUCUCAAAAUAAAAAAGUUAAAUGGCUAGAGGAAUAUGGCUCAGUGGUAGCAUGCCCCUGGGCUCAAUCUACAGUACCAGAAAAAAAAUAGGACUUUAAAAACCUCAAUAUCUAUUUGAAAGACUUUAUUAUGAAAUUCUUAGAUAAAGAGAUAUAAAAAAUACUUAGUAUAUGCCCCAUAUUAUUCCUAAGGAAUUGGAACAUUAUCCCCUUUAGUCAUCACAAAAUUGAGUUCUAUUAUUAUCACACUCAACCCCCCCUUUUAAGUGAUGGAAAGCAACACUUGAAGAGAUUAGGUAAUUUUCCCAAGGUCGCACAUCUAUCAGUUGCCAGAGUUAGUACUUAACCCAGGGCUAGUUGAUUCCAAAGCCUAAAUUCUUCCUCUGUAUGCAACACCAUAUUCCAAAGAAAACUUUAGAUUAAAGUUUAACAUAUUUAUCCUCUGAGGAUAUUUGUACUCAAGGGUCAAGGAGAUGCUUGAGGAUGCAAGUGAUUUAUUUAGUUUGAUGAAGUGUUCACACUGGUAGAUUUUUCUUGUUUCUAAAUUUCAACUAACUUUCAUUAUCUUCUUCUUUUAUUUUUUUUAAACUCUUCUCUACUUAGCAAAUUUUCUGUACUGAGCAUGUAUUAUUUUAAAAUGGGAAAAUAUGACAAAUCUAUUUUUAGAAAAAAAUUACUAUCUCAGAUGGCCAUUGUUCUCUUUGUGAGAUAGGUACUGCCCUGAUUUUGCCAAAAUAUCAAAGAGGCAACAAUCUAGAACUGUUUGUCCAGGUAAAGGCCCCCUGAAAGAUGUUUGGAAUAUGUUGUUGAAAGAAGGAAACCCAGGGGGCAAAUCAAGCCUGCAGGUAAAGAUAAGGAGUGUGCAAUCAAAGCUGACUUUAGAAGACCUAUUUUUGGAAGAUUUCAUAAUUCUUAAAACUGAGUGAAGAGUAUUUUAUUAAGAAUAAUAACAAAACCAGCAUGACAGGAGCUUGGAGAGACUUCUGGAAUGUUAAGACCUUUCAGAAAAUUAGAUGGUAUAACCUGUACUGUAGCCAUUAUAAUUUACGUCAUACUGGCUGUUGCAAUGUGAUAUCUUGGGCUCCCUCACAAGGUCGCAAGUGGUAAGGAACUAUUUAUACCUUAAUAGGGUGCUUCAUCUUAUGUGCAGUUUGGUUAGGCCAGGAAAAAGGAGAAAGAAGUCUAAAUGUUCCUCCACACUCCUUCUAGGCCCUUCCUAGAAACUAGAAAUGACCUCAGUUCUCCCUGGGGCUGGAAUCAUCAUUAGUUUCUAGAACCAGUUUCCAGUUCAAUGGUCCACAUUUUUGAUCAUUGCCAAUUCUCUGGUUAUCUUUUCUCUCCUCAGUUUCUUCUUCAGCCCUAGUCUUGUCUUGCUCCUCAUACUCCCUUCAUCUGACAAGCAGGGGUUGUGGGGUCGAGCUGCCACCUGUGACUUUAUCUUAUCACCACCCACAGGGGCUCAGAAGAAAGUAGAAGUAUCAGUUGAUGUUUAGAGCUGCCCUCUGCUGGUUGUUGAUGACUCAAUCUCAAAAUUAAAGUCUGGAAAGAGUUUCUCUAUUGGUUUAAUAAAGAGUUAAGGUGGAGACACUAGCAGACAGGAAAAAAAAAGCAAGACAUAACAUGUUUCAUUUAAAUUCUGCUGAACUGUGCUUGGCUUACUGUGGCUUGCAGUGAAGCAGUAGGUUUCAAUCGGGCAAGGAAUGCCUCCCAAGGAACAUUUGGCAAUGUUCAGAGACAUUUUUGGUUAACUGAUAACUGGGGCUGGCUUGGGGGGAUUAUUCCUAGCACCUGGUGGGUAGAGGCAAGGGAUGCUGCUUAACAUCCUGCUGUGCAUAAGAGUCUUCCACCCUAGAAAAAGAAAUAUCCAGCUCCAGUGUAGUGGGCCUGACUCAAAGAGCCUAAUAUAGCUGAAAUUAGACUAACAAAAAUUUGAAGUUUUAGCCAGGCCCAGUGGCCUGCACUUUAGUCGCAGGUACGAGGGAGGCUAAGGAAGGAGAAUUAUUUGAGCCCAGGAGUUUGAAGCCAACCUAGACAAGAGUGAGACCUCACUCUCAAAUAAAAUGAAAAGGAAAAAAAAGUUGGUGUUUGAAAUGAUUAGAGAUUAGGCCAGUGGCAUACGCCUAUAAUCCCAGCAGCUCAGGAGACUGAGACAGGAGGAUCCUGAGUUCAAAGCCAGCCUCAGCAAAAGCGAGUUGCUAAGCAACUCAGUGAGACAUUGUCUCUAAAUAAAAUACAAAAUAGGGCUGGGGUUGUGGCUCAGACUGAGUGCCCCUGAGUUCAAUCCUCGGUACUCCCCCCAAUAUAUAUAUAUAUAUAUAUAUUCAACAUCAUUAGCAAUUAGGGAAAUACAAAUCAAAACUACAUUGAGAUUUUAUCUGACACCAGUUAGAAUGGCAAUCAUCAAGAAUACAAAUAAUAAUAAAUGCUGGAGAGGAUGUGAAGAAAAAGGAACACUUUUACAUUGUUGGUGGGACUGGAAAUAAGUCAAACUCAGGUCAAGGGUCAUAUGAUUUCUCUCAUAUGUGGAAGCUAGAGAGGAACAAAGAAAAGAAACAUAGGGAUGGAUCUCCUAAAAAUCAAAGGGAGAUCAGCAGAGGAAAGGGACCAAGGGGUAGGAAGAAGGGAGGGAGGGGGAAAGUGCUGGGGAAUGAUAUUAGCCAAAUUAUUAUUAAAUUGUAUGUAUGUAUGUAUGAUAUAGAACAACAAAUCCCAUCAUUAUGUACAAUUAUAAUGCACCAAUUAAAAAUGUAGGAAAAAAAAGAAAAAGUCUUUUACGUCUUCCUAGGUGUCUUUAAGAUUCAGGCAAGUUGAGAACAACUGAGGUGGCCCAAACCCUCAUUUUUCAAUUGAGGAAUCAGCCUUGGAGGAUAUGGUUUUGCAGUUACAAAGUGGCAGAGCUGGGAGUAACAUGUGAUCUCUUGAGUAAAAUAGGUGGUUCUUGUCUGAUUGUGCACCACACUUACAAAGGAAAACUAUAAAAGGAAGCCUAUAAAAAUAUCUUUUAGAACUCUAAAGUUCUAUAUUCUAUCUUUAAAUAUAACUUUCAACAUUUUUCCCUAAAAUAAUGACACUUGUAGAAAAUUCAAGUUGAAACAAACACAAAUUAAGAUCAUGAGAUACUACCACAUACUAAAUAUACCAUAGUAUAUAUUAUACUUUUAGUAUAUCUAAAAAAAUAAAACACACAAAUAAAUCUGACAAUACUAAGUGAUGAUUAAGAUGCAGAAAACUGGAAAUCUCAUAAAUUACUAAUGAAAAUGGAAUAUAGCACAGCCAUUGAAAAACAAUUUGUCAAUUUCAAACAAAAUGAAACAUACAACUUAACAAUGUGAACUGGGAGUGCUACUGCUGGAUAUUGUCAAGGAAACUUAAAGUGUAUAUUCACAUGAAACCUGAUAUGCACAUGUUUUAAUGUCUGAAUUCAUAAUAAAAAAAUGAGAACAAUGCAAAUGUCCUUGGACUGGUGAAUGGAUUAAAAACUGUGGAAACAGCCAAACAAUGGAACACUACUCAGUAAUAAAAUUGAAUAAACCACUAAUACCCAUAAGAUGAAUGAAUCUGAAAUGGAUUAUGCUAAGUGAAAGAAGCCAGCCUCAAAAGGCUAUAUAUACUGUAUUAUUCCAUUUACAUGAAAUCUGGGAAAGCAAAAGGAUAAGAGAAAAUCAGAUUAGUGGUUUGGGGGAUUGGAAGUGAGUACAAAGAAGUAGCAUGAGGAAAGUUCGUGUGGUGAUGCAACUGGUUUGCGUGUUGAUUUUGGAGGUAGUCACGUGACUAUGUAACAACAAAUAAAGGAGUUUUAUUAUGUGUAAGUUUUAGAAGUGACUAAAAAUACAGAAAAACUCAAAAUAUAUUUGAAAAAACAAGGAACCCCACUUACAUGCUGAGGAUGCAAGGUUGCUGACGAACUUGUUGAGAGCCAUCUGCAGGAGAGAGUAGACAGGUGAAUUUGCCUUGGGUUGAACUAGAGGAGCUAUUCCUGUGAGUAAGGGAGGGACCGAGGGAUGGUCCCCAGCAGCUUCCAAAGCUCCUUUUGCUUCAUAGAACUCCCACCUUCUCUCCCCGAAUGAUACUAUUGCUCCAUCAUGGUCCACUUUGAGAAAAAAGAACUGAACUUAGUGAAGUCAAGACAUCCUUGAGCAUCUGGUAAGUCUUCUGGUGUGUAAGUCAAGAUCCCUGAUUCUACACAUCUGGUUUCUCUGUGGGAACAUCUGUGGCAUCACUGGUGUAGGAGUCAUGGUUAAAUGGGACUUGAGAACCUAGGGAUAUUUACUCCCUUCUGGUUUGUUUUAGAUUCUCAUCUGUUGGCCUUGGAUUUGGGAAUUCCCUCUGGUUAUCUGUGUUUUUGUUUUGUUUGUAUCUGUUAGUGCUCUUUUUAAGACAUGGCCAAUACUGAAUUGAUCUUAUAGGUAGUCUCUUGAGAAAGGUCUUGGCUGGUCAAUUUAAAUGUCCCUCUGUUGGUCAUGGUUUUGGUGAUGCUCUCUGGUUGUCUGUUUUUUUUCCUUUUCUUUUUUUGUAGACUCGUACAACUGGAGUUGGUCUGUCAGAUGUAAAGUAAGAGGAAGAAAUUUCUACAUGUAAGUCUAUCUGUUUUAAAAGUUUCUGUCUGUCAUCCCUGGUUUUGGUGAUCCUCUUUUGUCUUUUUUUUUUUUUUUUUUAUCACUGGCCCUUUAAAACAUGGGCCAUGCUGUGUUGAUCUUACUGUUAGUCUCUUGAGCAGAGAGAUUUUGGCUGAAUGGGCAAUCUAUAAGGAUAAGCCUAAGAGAAAGAUGGUUUACUGUAACACAAUCUUGCCUUUGAAUGGUUUUACUAGGUCAUUAUACAAUUUUGAAGUUGAAAUUUGUCUUUUGACUUUGAAAUUGGUCUGUCAGGGGUAAAGUAUAUGAAAGAGAUUCUGUAUGUACAGGCAUUUAUGCAGUUGCAUGAUAACAGGUUUGAACAGUCAGAAAUUAAGCUGAAGGAGACAAAAGGCACUGCCUCUUGUGUGCAAGGAUAGCAGGACAUCAGAAAAAGUGUUAAAACAGAUUUCAAUCUUUUAAACCCAGCGCUGGCACUCCCAGCACUGUUUCUCAGCCUGGCUUCAGGCAGCUGCAGAUGAUCUCACUGUGAGUCAAGUACACCAGCCCUAAACUGGGGGGAAAAAUCUCAGAAAAUCUGCCUGGGCUGUAGAAAAAUGGCCAAAGAGAACCUGGCCUAUGCCCUGCUUUCGAGACCCUUUUGCUGCUGUUUAAAAAAAAAAAAAUCACUAGAUAUUUUAAUUCAUUCUUCAAUCAUUUUAGGAAAUUGUCUUUUUCUUUCUUUCUUUUCUUUUUUUUUUUAAACUGGGGAUUGAACCCAGGGGUGCUUACCCACUGAACAACAUCCCCAAUCCAUUUUUUAAAAAAUUUAUUUAGGGACAGGGUCUCACUAAGUUGCUUAGGGACUCCUUAAGUUGCUGAGUCUGGCUUUGAACUCACAAUCCUCUUGCUCAGCCUCUGGAGCCCCUGGGAUUACAGGUGUGCGCCACUGUGCUCACUCAGAAAAUUUCUUAUAUUAUGUUUCUAAACAUUUAUUUAUAUUCCAUCAAUUUUUCCCAGGGUACCAGUAUUAUUUUUUUUAAAGUACAACGUUCAUGUUUUUUAUUUACUGACAAACUAAAAUCCCAUUUCCAGAUGUCUCUUUCUUGUGUAUGUUUUAUUUGUAUUAUUUAAAAGCAACUCCCCACCCUAGAAAUGUCACCUAGUCCUCAGACUCUGAUGUGUCUUCAUGUUGACUAAUAUGGAAGUAAUAAAGUUUAUAAGUCUUCUCAUCAGAUCCAAUGACACAAAAACAAAGAGUAUUCUAAUUAAGGCAUUUCUUGGCACGAUAUUUCAAAGACAUUCUCAGAAACAAUUCCUCAGAAAUGAAUGUGAUUUUAUUCUUGAAAUAUUCAAUUUGUACAACAUUCCUGAGAUUUCCAGUUUUUCCAUUGACUUUAACCUUUUCUAUAGGUACUUUUCCUAUUUUAAAACAGAAAAUAUGGGAAAUUUGGGAAGAAAACCAUAUUUACUAGAAAAAGCAACAAAAAUUUUAUAUUCUAUUGGAUGUGUAAAGUCUGAAUUAAACUCCAGGUUGAUUCUUAGCCUUGCCAACUUUUGAUGCCAUUUUGAGAGCCAGCUGUGUACUCAGUGAGCUCACUUAUUUUUAUACAAGAUUGUCUAUAUUUUUCUCUUUAUCAAUUAUCUUUCUUCUUAACUGGUUUAACUUAUCUUUUUUUGGUGCAUUAACUGAUUAUCUCCUACAUUUUCCACCAUGGCAUCAAUUCAAAUUAUAAUUGUUCUUACUUUUAGUAGACUAGAUUAUCUGCCCUCACUCCACCUCUGCUAAGUGCUGCUUUCUCUCCACUCUUUUGCAAACCAAUAGUACAUAUAUAGGUCUAGGGAGGAAGUGAUCUGGGCCAGAAUAAGUGCAGUCUUUAGUUUGGCUCAGCUGUGCCUGCUCAGAUGUUCAUGGAAACUACCACUUCCAAGGGCUUUUACUCAUUCUUCUAACUCAGCACAAUAUCCUGGAAAAUGACAGGUCUUUCUGUGUCUGUAAAACCUGACUUAGACUUUCUCCUGACUUUGUUACCCAUCUCUCACUUCAUUUACAAAAUAAGGAUAAUUAAUGAUAGUGUUAUUGUCUUACUUUUCCUUGGUGGCAUGCUUCUGGGUUUUCCUUCAUUAGCAGCCAUGUUUAGAAGUUCAUGACAUAAGAUUAAUCUUUGCCAUGUUUGGUUAUAUAUUUGGUAAACUUUGGGAUUUUCUAUUUUUGUUUAUUACAAUAACAUUGUUAUGCAGAAUUUGUGGGACCCCAAUAGACCUCCAGGAGCCAAAUCCAAUGCAAGCACAUAAGAGUCUUUAGCUUAAGCCCAGACUCACAACUGUUUCCAGGUCACGGUCCUUUGUUCAGUGAGAUUUUAUAGGUUUUUUGGGAUACUCUGUGUCACAACAUCACACACAAAUCAUUUCACACAUCGGGAAAAUCAAACAACAACUGUUAACAUUGAUUAGCACUUUCACUGACUAGAACAAGUCAGGUAAGGGUGAUUGGUUAGUUCAAGUGGUGGAUAUAUUUGAACUGAUUGGUUUAAGCCAUGAGGGGUGUAUGUACUAAACUACAUGAUUUCCUAACAUGUUAUCAGUCACUGAGACUACUGGGAGGGUCACCUGGUAUUCCAGGUAUUUUCCCUGUCUCAUGCUGAUUAGUAGUUGCUAGGGGGUUGCUAUGAGUCAUCACAUGGUCAGGCCUUAGGCCUUAAAUAUUCUUUGGUCUUUUCAGGAACUAGCAUAACUGAGUCAGGUACACCUGGAGCCACAGAUCUCUCCGGUUACUUACAGACAAACAACUCAGCAGGGUGGAGCACUCUGUGGGUUUUUCCAAGGACAAGGGUCAUUCCUCGCUCCUUGGACAGGCUUUGUUCUGAGGUAGAGGCUGGUUUCUCAAAAAUGGAGUCACAUCAGUUUCUCAACAUCAAGAGUGAAGAUUCUGAAUUUCUCUUUUGUACCACCUUUGCCCAGAAGUUUGUCUGCACCACCACUAAAUACCUGAAUUCAGUUUUUUUCAUUAAUAAAAAUAGGAGUAAACCCCUUAAUUAAAAGGUAAAAGAUUAAAUGAGACCUUCUAAGGGAAAUUCUGGCUUCCUCUCUAAAUUAUUGUAGGCUUAGGAACCUGGGGAUGGCUUCCUCUACAGAAUUCUGUCAUUCAUUUUUCUGAUUUCAAGGGCUUAGAGAUUUGUUGUUAAUCAGUAGUAUGUUCCAGAUGUUAGCAAACUUUUCUAUAGUGGGCCACAUAGUAAACUUUUUAGACUUCAAAAGCCUUACAGUCUCUGUUGUAACUACUUUACUCUGUUGUUGUAUGACAACAUUCACAUGUAAAUGAAUGAGUAUAGUUGUUUCAAUAAAACUAUAGUCAUUGAAACUUCAAUUUCAUUUAAUUUUCAUAUGUCACAAAAUAUUCUUUUUUUGGCCUUUAUCAAUCACUUAAAAAGGGUAAAGCAAAAUUUCUAGUUGCUCUGUGAGUUGGGAUUUAAGUGAUGGCAAUACUGCUGCUCAGUUUUGUGAGUGAAAGAGAGAAUUCAUGGAAAUUCAAAAUUGGACAGUCAGAGACUCUUAGAAAUUUGGGUGCAUUGAACAAAGUUUUAGAAAGAGUACAUCAGAGCCAAGCUGGUGGUGGCAGCAGCAGCAGUGCUCAUUCACUGCAAAGUGAAGGAAAGACAGAGAAAUACAGUGGACUAAUUUGACAUAGAAAAACCUGAAGAACUUGUAAAGAAUGGUGGAAAAGCUCCAUAAACUCAACAAGCCAAAAUAACCAUUUACCUGUCCAAGAUUUUAUUAGCAGAACCGUAGCAGCCAGUCACAGAAGAGAAGGGAGGGGGAGGGAGGGAGGGAGAGAGAGAGAGAGGGAAAGAAGAGGGGGAGAGUAAGAGGGAGAGGGAGAAUAAGAGAGUAAGAGUAAGAGAGUAAGCAUGAACAGGGUGUUGAUAUUUAUGGGCUUAACACAGGAUGAGGAGGAGCAAGGUGAGUGGGCUGCUACUUCUUCAUUGGCUGAGAGUUCGUGCCACUUCAGGGAUUGGAGGUGUGCAAUUCAAAGUUCACACCAUUCACAGGGAUUGAAGGUGAUGGUUUGCGCACCAUUCAGUGCAUCAUGGACCUGAGCUCCUGGAAGAGAAGCGCUCCGGUCUCCAUCUUUACCAACAGAACUGAAAAGUAGUUUGAACUUAACUAGAGGCAGCAGAGUGAGCUGGUAUUUGAGAAAUGAUAUGUGUUUCUCAACUGACAAGUGGAGAACUGAGUAGGGAUCCAUCUUGAAUCAGGCCAUGCUGCAGCUUGCAUCUGCAAAGCUAGAAGAUCAUAGCAAACAUUGUCAUACUAACCUAGCAACUGCCUAUCACAUGGCCUAGGGUGUGCCUAGCAGAAUAUGAAUUCAAUAGGCCCAGAGAAGAUUGUAUCCCAGGACACUCAAGUGAGAGAUAGGAAGGGAAGUAAAAUUUGUUUUCCCUUUGAUUCUGGUGGCUCAUGUGACAGAUAAAGAGGGCCUGGAAACUGAGAAGUGGGUGUGAUUUCAUUCAGGGAGUGAACCUGGGAAGGCAAAGUUCAUGGGUGGUGGAAUGUGUGAGACCUGUGGAGGGUUGACUCCUGUGCCUUACUAGUAGAAUUCUUGGGAGGUCCCUGAGAUCCAGAUGGUCAGCAGAGAUCAGCAUCUGCCUAGCCCCAGGAGUAUGUUGAUCUAAUCUUUCUAGAGCAGAUACUACUCAACAAAGUCCCAAAGGCCUGAUUAGAGGUAAAUUUCAGUUGCUGGUACUUCCAAUUUACAACUCUGUAGCAGCCCCAAACUGGGAACACAUUGAUAUGUUCUGUCUGCACAGAAUACCAAUUCAUAUUACUUCUCAUUCCAUCUGACCUUGUACUGGUGAGAAGGAAAAGUGAAAGCUGAUUCAACUAGCUUCAGUUUCAAGUCACCACGGCUGGCAGUGCAGUGAGCAACGUGGUAAAAAGAUGAGUUUAAUAACCCUCUGUCUUUGCUCUCUCCAAGGGGUACAUAGCUCAAGAAGAAACAGAAAUAAGGGCACUCUGGCAUAGAAUGGAAACAUCUGUCCUUGUUGACAGUUUUGAUCACCAAAAUGGAGACAGUCUUUUCUUUUUAAUUAACUCCCCACCUCUAUUUUGGGGUUUUUAUUAGUUCAUGAAAACAUGUAUGUACAAACAUAUAUAUUUCCUUUUUGUUCAUUUAAAAAGUUUAUUAUUUUUCUUUGUUCUUUCAUUUGAAGGUUAGUGUUUUUUGUUUCUCUUUUUUCUUCUCCCUCUUAUAGUCAACUUUGUACCCUUUCUCUCUCUCUCUCUCUCUCUCUCUCUCUCUCUCUCUCUCUCUCUCUUUCCCUCCCUCCCUCCCUCCCUCUCUUUUUGAGGAAAAACGGAAAAAUAAGUUUUAUUACUUUGCUAGCAAAGGAGAAACACAGAGGACUCCCGUCCCAGAGGCUGUGAUUCUGUCCAUCAGCAGGAACAAGGGGUUUUUAAAGAGGUAAUUCAAAGGCCACAUUCCAUGUGUUCUCUGAUGGAGUUGUAAUUUACUUGUUAAUUUGGGAGAUAGUCAUUUUUGAUACCUCUGUUACUAUCCCGAAAGUCUGGAUUACUUGGUUCCCAUGGUGGGUAUUACUCAAGGACAGAUAACUCUGCCUAGGAUGGGGAAGAAAGGUAAUCUUGUUUCACCUGGCAUUAGGAGGAACAGGGAGAGAGGAAGAGAAAGAAACAUGUCCAUUUUAAAACUAAGUUGCAGUGGCAGAGCAGCAAGGGCUAUAUUCAAAGCAUAAAGUGAACCACUGUUACAUUUCCCCACUGUCAAUUUCUACAUUCUAUGAAAAAUUGGGCAACGAUAUCUUCAAGACGCUUCCUGCUGAAAGAGGGUGAAUUUGGGGGGAAGUAUCCCAAAGUCCCUAUUCUCUAUCAGGUGGGGCAUGGACAGUUAAGGAUAUUCAGCAUAAGAGCAGUUCAGGGGUCCACAGUUGCAGAUAGCAGGUGACUAGACAGGACAUACAUAGGGCAGGGAUCAGGUUAAGUAAAAAAUAAACAGAACAGUGAAGCAUUACUUUUUUUUUUUAUAAACUAUGAGCACAAAAGCAAGUCUCUGAAAACCAUGAACCCAGUAAAUAAUAAUCUUAUCAGUGAAAAGCAGAUCAAGUUUAUCAAUGUAGGAGGUUAGGAAGAUUUGUAGAGAGAUCAGUCUCAAAUUAACUCAGGACAAACUUGUGACUCUAGACCAUCUUUUGUGACCAUCAUUAUUAGGUACUCCUACACAAAAACCUUUCCUUUAUAUUCUUCAGCUUUACUUACUUUUGGUAGGGCUGACACAAGUGUUCAUCUUAAGUUACUUUAAAAGAAACAUUGUCUUUCCUUUUAAAUGUCCAGGUAGAACUGGGUUUAGGCUAUAUUCUCCUGCGAGGUGUUUAAGACCAGGUUGGUCAAAACUGACCUUCCUCCUAUCUACUCCUAAGGGUCAGCUGAGAUUCCUCAGAGGUCACUCUUAGGAAAGUGUGCAAAGCCUCUUGGCUCCCUUAGCUUUCCUCUACUAGUAGUGCCAUUUGCCAGGAUGGGUCAGAGUCUUGAUGAACACAUGUGGCUUCUCUUGGAAGCAUCAAGGACAUUUCUGUCUCCAGUGAUUCUCUUCCUUUUUGCAGAAUGUGUGCUGGCUUCCUGUUCUCUACAAUCCUCUGAUCCUCUUUUUCAAAUGACAUGAAUAAAUAGCAACCAAAUUUGUUAUUUCUAUACAAUUCCAAGACUAUUUCUACAGAGAAUUUUAGUUUUGAGGACACCAACUUGGUGAACUGCUUUCCUCUGAGCUUUACAUUUAAUUAAAUUUAACUUUUAAAGAACAAUUUAGAACCCAGAGAUUAUGGAAAUGAUAAAUACAGUUUGUCAUGUAUUAGCAAUACUAGCAAAAAUCAAAUAAUAUUCUUAAAUCUCUUAUACAUUUAGGAAAGAGUGUUAAUGAUCAGAAAUUGGCUUUGUCAAAGCAAGGCAGGUCUUCAAGUGACAAUGUUGCCCUUCUAUGUCAGAUACAAUGUAAAAAGGAGAGCACUUAUUUGUUACCUUGCCAGUAAACUAGAUAAACUUUCAUUUUAUAAGCUUUUACAUAACUCUUAGGCUCAGGUAGAUAUAAUUCUCAGAUGUAUACUUACAUCUAGUCACAUAUCUUCAGGGUGUCAACUAUAGUCAUAACCUAAAAUAAUCAUCUAUCUAAUCAGUUAUAAAGUAAUUGUUGAAAAGACUUUAAAACAAGUAUGAACCCUAAUUCCUAUAUGACUUAGUUUUCCUAAAUAAUAAAACAUAAUAGAUACAAGAAAAUUUUCUUUUCUUUUUUUUUAGAGAGAGAGACAGAGAGAGAGAGAGAGAGAGAGAGAGAGAGAGAGAGAGAGAGAGAAUUUUUAAUAUUUAUUUUUUAGUUUUCGGUGGACACAACAUCUUUGUUUGUAUAUGGUGCUGAGGAUCGAACCCGGGCCGCAUGCAUGCCAGGCGAGCAUGCUACUGCUUGAGCCACAUCCCCAGCCCAAGAAAAUUUUCUUGAUAGAUAAUAGCAUAUCGAUAUUUCAGACUUUUUCUCAUAUUCACACAUUAAAGUCCAAAUAACUUUGUUCUAAUUAUAACCAAUUUAAUCACAAACACAAACUUUUUGAGAUUUACCUGCCACAAACCUUCUGCAACUUACUUAGACAUUCACAACUUGGUUAUAUCCUUAGUUUUGUCCUCCCUUUCAUUUUGAACAUUAGCACAAAAAUAUUACUUUAUCAGACAAAAUACUUACUUGUCCAGAAACAUUUCUUUUACCUUUUAAUUUUCUGUACUAAAAUAUAUUUCCAUACCUAUAACUUUUAUCUUUUUGAGUUUUGGACCCUUUUUAAAAUUUAUAUACUGAAACAAUUCUUAUGAAUGUUAUCUGUGCAUUUAAUUUACAUGACAAAUUUUAUCCCAGGAGAGGAUUGAACAAUCCAGCAAAUACAAAAACUUUGCCUUAAUUUUUUUUCUCUCAGGUUGCAUUACAGGGGUAGGAUUACAGGAAAUUUUUGAGCCUGAUCUGUCUCUCUUAUCAUUCUCACAAUGCCAUCAACUGUAAGUGAGUUCUCUACUGUCAAGAGUAACACAAAAUUGGCUAUAUAAUUUAUUGACAGCAGGUUACUGGGGCUCUUCUGGGGCUGGUAGAAGCCUUCAAAAAGGCCUGGAGACCUGGACCUCAUCACUUGUCAUCUGAGCCUUGGAUUCAGGAGACAAUUUCUUUUUCAGGGGGAGAUCUGGUACUUGGACAAUUCUUCACAUCCUUGGACAAUCUUUUUUCCAAUGUUGUUCCUCCUUACAGUAGGCUCAUGGGACUUGCCUUAAUGAAGGAUGCCCAUUCCUAUCCCUUCUUUUGAAUUUUCUUAAGGCUCCCUUUGUGGAGGUUACCAAGAAAACACAUGCUGAUUUUAUUUUUCUGUUUCUCUUGGGCAUUGUAUACUUAAAGGCAAUAUAGUCAACUGUGAGAGAUUUAUACCAAUUUCCCCUUCUAUCCACUAAAGUUUCCUCCUUAUGUCUGGGGCACUUUGCCCAAUGAAAGUCAUUUUGACCAUGCAAAGAUUUUCAGGGGCUUCUGGAUCUGCAUCUGUGUAUUUCCUGUUUGCCUGACAAACUCAUUCUAAAAAUUCUGACAGGUACUCAUUGAUCUUUUGCUGUAACUGCUGAAUGUUAUUUAAAACUUUUUCCUUGGAUACUCCCCUCCUGAGUCCCACCAAAAUACAUUUCCCAUAAUGUUUAAUCAUUUCACUGUCUGCCACCGCAUUUGAGUCCCAGUUGGGCUCCCUCAUAGGAAUAGCUUUUGCUGGUGCAGGGAUGUGACUGGGAUCCUCAUAAUGGAGCCUCUGAACUUCUUGCCUUGCCUUAUCUAUCACUACUCAGUAUUCAUCAGCUGUGAGUAACAUGUUAACCAGAGUUUGUAUGUUUGUCCAGGUGGAGUAGUGAGUGGCAAAAAUGAUAGUAAACAACUCAUCCAUUUUCUGUGUGUCUUCUAAAUAGGUUGGGUUUGAAUUUUUCCAAUUCAUCAAGUCAGAAGUUAAGGAGGAACUAUAAGCCCAAUAAUACUCUGCUGGCUUCCCCUGUGCAUUUGUGCAGAUAGGGUAUAACCUUAGGGGGAAUUAUUGACCUGCCCCAGCAACAGGUGCUCCCCAGCCAAAAGGAGUUCCCUGGAAGGUUUUAGAUGAGGAGGUUAUCCCUGACCCUGAGUCAUAGCCUUGUGAUGCCCAUAGUGGGAGCCCAUUUUGCUCCACCUCCCCUUCAUGUGAAUGGCUCCCUAUAAGACUAAGAGAGCUAGUGGGAGCCAGAGGUGAAUUAGGAUUGAAGGGGUUUCUUAUAGUUAAGUUUAUCAAAUCCUCCUCAACUUUCUCUACCAACUGUCUCUAUGAGAGGCCAUGCCUUUCUCUGAACCAUCAACUCAGUCCCUGGAUGUUCAGACUCCUUAUUAUGUAGCAAUAUAAAUGCCUGCACAUAUGGGAUUUCUUCCCAUUUUCCUGACCUCUUGCACAAUUACUCCAACUGCAAGAGUGUAUGGUAAUUCAGAGUAUAAGACAAUGGCUACCUUUCUUCCCCUUCCAGAACACUCAUCAGUCAGACUGUGUUACAGUAAAACACCAUCUUUUUCUUAGUCAUAGGUUUAGACCUUUACUUGGCCCAGUCAGCCAGGAUAUUUCCAAGAGACCAUGGGUGGAAAUUGAUGCAAUUUUGCUCAUGUUUUAAAGGGGCCAGUAGCAGAUACAAACAACAACACAAAGAAUCAGAGGGAAUUCCCAAAUCUAGCCUGACAGAUGAAAACCUAGAGCAGAUCAGAAGGGAGUAAAAUCCCUAAGUUUCAGAGUCCUGUUUAACUAAGAAUCCUAUAACAAAUUAUGCCACAGAUAUUAUCACAAAGAGGGACCAGAUGUUCCCACAAAGAGGAACCAGAUGUGUGGAAUCAAGGGUCUUGGUUUGCACACAGCGUGACUUAGCAGCUGGCCAAGGGUGUGUUGAAACUUUAUGGAGUUCAGUUUCCUUUUUGUCAAAGUAGAGCAACUGAUGAAGCAGAUUCUGCAGUUCAUGGAGGGAAGGUGGGAGUUCCCUGAAGCAAAAGGAGCUUUGGCAGCUGCUAGGACAGUUCCUUAGUCCCUCCCUUUACUCACAGGAAUAGCUCCUCUGGUUCAGUCUGAGGUAAACUCACAUGGUCUUUCUCCAGUGGUCAGCUCUCAACAAAUUCACCAGCUACCUUGUAUUCUCAGCAUGGAAGUGUGAGCAGUCACUUGGAGUGCUAAAUCUGUCCAAGAAAACUGGAGCUGGGGCUGCUUUCAGGUCAUGCCAAGGUCACUAAUUUGUUACUGAAAGUUUGGUCCUCAUCCCCAAUGCCAACCCAAUAACAGAGACAAGUUUUUGAGGAAAAGGAAAAAGGUUUAUUACUUUGCUAGCAAAGGAGAAGCACAGGGGACUCUUGUCCCAGAGCUAUAUAUAAUUCUCUCAACUUCUUUUGUCCUAUUUAUUUUAUUUAUUUUUUUCUCCUACUUCUUUAUAGCUGUCAUUUGCUACAUCUCUUCUGCUUCCUCUCUGUUCACAUUUUUAACAUUCUAAACAUUUUCUUAGUCAUAGGUUUAUAUCUAUACUUGGUAUAAGUAUAGAUAUCACAUUCCUAUCACAUUUCUUUUCUCUUAAUGAACUGUAUUCUUAUCAACUUUUAGGACUAUUUGACUUAUAUAAUUCCUGCCCCCACCACUCAUCUUGUGAUUAUUAUUACUGUGAAUGGUGCAGUUGACACCUGUGAUUUACUUUAAUACAUGAUCUAGUUCACAGCUAUUUGUCAUUGUUACUGUUUUCAAUUGCUGAUCCUGUCAUUCAUAUUUUUGUGGCAACUAGUGUUGUAGAUGUCAGAGUAGGCAUUAAGUAUUUGUUUUAAUGCUGUAUAUUGUUCAUGCUCUUGUUGCAGUUGUUUGUUUUCCCCCUUUCUGUGAGGAGCUGGGAAUGUACUAGUACACUAAAAGUUCACUGGGUAGCUGAGCAACACCAAAAUCCCAGUCAAGAGAAAGUGACCUUGUUUUACACACAAAAUAACCAAGCUCAAUCUCCAUUAGUACUUUAAUACAAAGAAUAAGGGUGAGAAAACCCCCCAACCAAUGACUAGGCCACUAGCAGAAAUGACUUGAGUGGAGGGAGUCAGGUCCAACUCAUGGACAUACACUCCUAAAGCAAAAACAGAGAGAAUUAACACAAAGACUGUGAAAACCAUCUCACUGAGAUUCUCCAACUAGAUCACUCUUAUACCUUUCUAUAAUAUACAGAGUUACAUGAAGAAGAGCAAUCACAGAGGGUGUAACCCACAAAUCCUACCAUAUGUGACACAAUUGACAGAUCAAAAAUAAGGAUCCCACUCUUGUUAGACCUAUAGGGAAAGUGGAAUCCUCAAGUUCUGACAUAACACACACAGUGUCAAAACACACCAAUUAUCACCAAAGAAUGAGCAGGGAAACUAUACUAUAGAAACCACUUGAAAAUAGAAUGAGAAAUUCACAGCAACCUGAUAUCCUAAAACAUUUUGUCAAAAAAAUAAAAAUAAAAAAAGACUGUGCCCUAUAAAGACCCACACAAAGGAGUCAAGGAAAAAUACAUCCUGGCAGAUGCAUAAAACCCAACACAAAACUAUAAGAAAUAUGAAAGCUGGAUAUGAUGACACACACCUAUAAUCUCAGCAUCUUGGAAGGCUGAGGCAGGAUGAUUGCAAAUUCAAAGCCAGUUUCAGCAACUUAGCAAGGCCCUAAGCAACUUGGUGAGACUCUGUCUCAAAAUAAAAACAACUUUUUUAGAAAAAGGGUUGGGGAUGUUGCUCAGUAGUUAAGUACCUCUGGGUUCAAUCACUAGUAUUGCUCCCUCCCCAAAAAAGAGAGAAAGUAUAAUAAAGGUAACAUGACAUCUUCUAAGGUUCAUAAUUCACCACCAACUGAUUCCAAAGAUAUUGAACUGGCAAAAUGCCAGAUAAAUAAUUUUAAAAUGUGACUAUAAAAAUUAUCAAUAAAUUCUAAGAGAAUACAGAAAAAUGCCAAAUGAUUUAGGAAAGUCACGAAAAGGUAUGAAUGAGAUAUUCAGCAAAGAGAUAUGGAUAAUGAAAAAGAACCAAACAGAAAUUUUGGAAAUGAAAGUCACAAGAAAUAAAAUAAGAUAUUCAGUGGAAAAAUCUCUCCAAUAGAGUGUACUAUGCAAAUGACAGAAUCUCAGAAAUGGGAAGCAUUCUAUACUCAAGAAUAUGAGUAUAGAAUAUUAUAUAUAUAUAUAUAUAUAUAUAUAUAUAUAUAUAUAUAUAUAUAUAUAUAUAUAUAUAUUCAUUCAUUCUAUGAAAUAGGAAAGCUGUAUUCUAUAUAUAUGGAAUAUUCUAUACACAUAUUCUUGAGUAUAGAAUGCUCAAGGUGUCUGGUCUUGAGCAUUCAGACAAUAUUAACAAAAAGAAAAUAAGUAACCAUGACCAGAAUAUACAGAAAAUCUGGGACAACAUGAAGAGAACAAAUAUUAGAAUCAAUAGAAUUUAAGAAGGUUAUGGGAUGCAGGCUAAUAGCAUGGAUAACCUACUCAGAGAAAUUGUAACAGAAAAAAAUCUUAAACCUUGAGAAUAAGAUGGACUUCCAGAUACAGGAGGUAUUCAGAUCCCCAAAAAGACAAAGACUGUGGACACCACAGCACAAAGGUUCUCCAACUAGAUCAAUCUUAUAUCUUUUUACAAUAUAUAGAGUUACAUGAAGAAAAGUAACACAGAGGGUGUAACCCACAAAUCCUAACAUAUGUGACACAACUGACAUAUCAACAGAAUCCCACUCUUGUUAGAACUAUAGGAAAAGUGGGAUCCUCAAGUUCUCAUGUAACACAUGGUAUCAAAACACAUCAAUCACUACCAAAGAAGAUAAAAAUAGAAUUCUACAGGACAGACAUAUUAGCAAGGAUGGAAUUUUAAAAGCCUCAAGAGAAAACAUAUUGUCAUAUUUAGAGGCAAAACAAUUAGAAUAACUUCUUAUUUCUUAGUAGAAGCUCUGAAAUCCAAGAGGGCUUAGAACAUAUCAUACCAAAUUAACUGUCAGCCAAGAUUGCUAUAUCCAAUGAAACUAUCCUUUAGAAUUGAAGAAGAACUAAAACCCCCCUAAGAUAAGCAUAAACUGAAAGAAUCCAUGAAUCCUAAGCUAGAACUACAAAAAGUACUUAAAUACUACACAAAGGAAAAAAAAAUUAAAUACAUAUUCCAGAAUUCACAAAUAGAUUGAUCACAUAUGAAGAGAAGUGAAGAAAAUGAGAAACAGGACCAAAGUAAACAUUAGAAAUAAAUCAAAAUGGCAAGAUUUAAUAAACAUCUCUUUAUGCUAUCAUUGAAUAUAAAUAGUCUCAACUAUCCAACUAAAAAACAUGGACUGGCAGAAUGGAUUAAUACCCCAUUAUUAUUUUUUUUUUGUAAGAGAUUCAUCUUACAGUCAAAGACAUAUACUGGCUAAAAGUGAAAAGAUGGAAAAUAAUAUACCAUACAAAUGGAGCCCCAAUAAUAUUGAGUGCACCAACACUCCUAUCUCACCAAUAGAUGGAUCAUCCAGACACACACACACAGUAAAGAUUCUUUACACAUGAAAAUAUUAUUUAUCAAAUGAACUUAACAGAAAUUUCUAUAGAGUAUUUCAUUUAACAACAGCCAAAUUCACUUUCUUCUCAGCUGUUCAUGGUACCUUAUUCAAAAGAGAACAUAUUUUGGCCACAAAGAAAUUCAUAGCAAAUAUGAAGGAAAAAAUUGAUAUAUAACUCCUUUCAUUGUAUCAGAUCAUAAUGGGAAAAAUUAGAAAUCGGCACCAAGAAAAACUACAGAAACUACAUAAGUUCCUGGAGAUUGAAUAUACAUUUUCGAACAAUGAUUGGAUGAUAGAAGAAAUCAGGUAAAAACUAAAAACUUUUUAGAUUCAAAUGAGAAAGGUUAUAUAGUAUACCAAAAUUUUUAGGAUAUGAUGAAGGCAGUUCUAAGAGGAGAGUUUACAUCUAUGAGUGGCUGCAUAAGAAAACUAGAAAUUCCCAAUUAAGCCACCUAAUGAUGUGUCUCAAGGACCUAGAAAAACAAGAAUCCUGAAACUAGUAUAAGAAAGGAAAUAAUUAAGAUCAGAGCCAAAAUCAAUGAAAUAGAGAAUAAAUAACACAAAGAAUUAAUGAAAUUAAGUGUUGGCUCUGUGAAAAAAUAAAGUAUAUUGAUAAACUCUAAUCCAAACUAAACAAACAAAAAAAAUUAGAUAGAAUUCUCAAAUUAGCACCAUAGACAUCACAGAACUCCAGAGGAUCAUUAGGGGCUAUUUUAAAAACUGAUUCACCAAUAAAUUGAAAAAUCUAAAAAAAGUCUACAUUUCAAGAUGAAUAUGGUCUAUCAAAAUUAACCAAGAGGAUACAGAAAACCUAAAUGGAUCAAUAGCAAGCAGGGAGAUUGAAGCAGUAAUUACAGUUCUUCCAGGUCAAAGUACUGAAUCCUUCUGCCAAAACCAGAAGCCUUUAUGUUAUCCAUGCUACUUUCCUCCCUUGAUUAGUGUUUAGUCAUUAAGUCUCCUCACAUUUACAUAAAAUUUAAGUCUUUCACCUUUCCAAUUCUCUCAUAUUUCUCUCAUAUACACCCCCACUCAAAUUUUUCAGGCCCACCAUUCUUUCUUACUUCCACACCAAAUUCUAGUCCUUUCCUGCCCUUAUUAAUCUUUUUUUUUUUAAUUUUUAAAAUUUGUUUUAAUUAGUUAUACAUGACAAUAGAAUGCAUUUAUGCACUUUGCUAUAUCAUACGUAGAUGGGAUAUAAUUUCUCAUUUUUCUGAGUGUACAUGUUACAGAAUCAUAUUGGUCAUGUAGUCACAUAUAUACAUACAGUAAUAAUGUCUGCUUCAUUCUACUAUUCCUCCUAUCCCUACCUCCCCUCCCCUCCCAUCACUUCCCUCUAACUAAUCUAAGGUAUCACUAUUCUUCUCUAGUGCCCCCACCCUCCAUCUUAUUGUGAAUUAGCAUCUGCAUAUUAGAGAAAAACAUUUACUGGCGUAUUUCACUCUUCUUUAAAGCUGAGUAAUAUCCCAUUGAGUAUAUGUUUCAUAUAUAUAUAUAUAUAUAUAUAUAUAUAUAUAUAUAUAUAUAUAUAUAUAUAUAUAUAUUAAUCCAUUCAUCAAUUACGGGACACCUAGGUUGGUCCCAUAGUCUAGCUAUUGUGAAUUGAGCUGCAAUAAAUAUUAAUGUGGCUAUGUCUCAUAGUUCCAAUUAAGCCACCUAAUGAUGUGGCUGAUUUUAAGUCCUUUGGGUAUAAACCAAGUAGUGAGAUAGCUAGGUCAAAUGGAGAUUUCAUUCCAAGUUUUCUGAGGAAUCUCCAUACUGCUUUCCAGAGUGGUUGCACCAAUUUGCAGUCCCACCAGCAAUGUAUGUGUGUAUGUUUUUCACCACAUCAUUCAUGCCAACAUUUAUUGUUGCCUGUAUUCUUGAUGAUUGCCAUUGUGACAGGAGUGAGAUGAAUUCUUAGAGUAGUUUUAAUUUGUAUUUCUCUAAUUGCUAGAGAUGUUGAACACUGUUUCAUGUAUUUGUUGAUCAAUUGUAUUUCUUCUUCUGUGAAGUGUCUGUUCAGUUCCUUAGCCUAUUUAUUGAUUGGGUUAUUUGUUUUUCUGGUGUUAAGUUUUUUGAGUUCUUUAUAUAUCCUAGAGAUUAAUACUUUAUCAAAGGUGCAUGUGGUAAAGAUUUUCUCUCAAUAUGCAGGCUCUUUCCUCUUGUUACUAAUUAUUUCCUUUGCUGAGGAGAAACUUUUUAAUUUGAAUCCAUCCCAUUUAUUGAUUCAUGAUUUAACUUCUUGAACUUUGGGGGUCUUGUUAUUAAUCUUUAGGUAACCCCCUUACUCAGAGAAUUUAUUUCUGCACAUAAUUAAGGGACUCAUCUAUAUUUCUACAACAUCCUGAACUUAGGUUGUUGAUAUCAUAAGUAUAAUUGCCUCUGUCACAAAAUUGUAAGCUCUUUAUUUCUCACCUUCACACUUAUAUCCCAUUGUCCAAUCCCAAGCCUGACACAAGUAGAUACUUAAUAAAUAUUUGACGGGCAAAUGAAUGAGCUAUUGUUUUAGUCAGCUUUUGUGUCACUGUGACCAAAAUACCUAAUAAGAACAACUUAAGAGGAGAAAAAGUUCAUUUGAGGCUCAUGGUUUCAGGGGUCUCAAUCCAUAGAUGGCUCACUCCAUUUCUCUGGGUCCAAGCUAUGGCAGCACAUUUUGAGGGAAGGGCUCUGUAGAGGAAAGCUGCUCAACUCAUGGCUGUGUCAGAAAGCACAGGAGGUUGAGGCCACAGGUAAGAUGCACCCUGCCAGGGUACACCCCCAGUGAUUCAUCUCCUCUAGGAAUGUCCUACCUGCCUGCUGUUAUUACAUAAUCAAUUUAAAAUAAGAUGGACUUAUUAAGUUAUAACUCUCAUAAACUAAUCUUUCACCUCUGAAUAUUAUUGCUAUUAAAUAUGGAGUAUGACAAACCCCCAAAUAGUGAAGUCUGAGAAAAGGGGAGUGAGAAAGAAAGCCAUACACUGGGAGCAUUGAUCCUUUCCAGUACAUAAAGAAUCAAUUUCCCAGGAAUAAAACAAACCCUGGGAGGAUGUGUCCAUCAAACCUAGAAAAGCAAUCUCUGGCAAGUGGCCAAAGCAUUAAUCCUUCCCUAAUCAAAUCCCUUCCAGAUACCAACCACUGACCCCAGGUCCUCCAUUUUUUCCAGUAAGAUAAAUCCUAGAGAUUGACUACUAACCCCAGACUCCCUCCCAUUUUACCCAGUAAAACAGACCCCAAAUUUCUGAGUUCACAAGCUGAUAGUCUUAUUAAUUAAGUUACCUCUCAGUAUAACCCAUAUAAGUUCAGUCCCCUCCUUUGUUCAGUGGCUCAUUUUCUGUGGUGAGCCGCUUCUGCCGUUUCUGCAGAUUAUGGUCGCCAUUACAAGAUGACGCUGGCUCCGCUGUGGUCUGUGACAAACAACUCCUUAUCUGGGAGAGUUGGCACAUGAUUUUUCACCACCCUGUGAGAAAGCUCCACGCGGCAGCUUUGCAUUGGGGCUUGGGAUGCUUUAUUAAGGCUGGGAGGGGCAUCAGAGAGAGAGAAGAAGAAAUAUCAAGGGCCUGAAUAAACUGCUGAAAGAAGAUUCCUGAGUUGCGUCUUCCUUGCGGGCAAGGGGUCGCGACAAUUUUCCACCAGGAGAAUGGGUCCACCAGAACCAUGACUCUAUUCCUGAAUAAAGGCUUUUGGCUGAUUUGUGAAGUUUGUGUCAGCCUGGUCUCUUUGUGCUAACAAUUGCAUUAACAGGAGAUUUGGAGGUAUACCUCAUAUCCAAAGCAUAACAUUCCAUUUCUGUUUCCCAAAAGCUCAUAUCCAUCUCACAAUGCAAAAUGCAUUUCUUUCAUCUCCAGUAUUCCCCUGGUUUUAGCUUUCCCCCAUCCAUAUUCUCCUAUGAGAACUAAGACAAACUUUUGGUGUUAUGCUCAAAUUCAGGACCCCCAAAAGACAACCAGAGACCAAGAUCGAUGUAAGCAGCAAAGAGGUGUUUAUUGCGAGCUAGCUCGGUCCUCCAUGUGCGCACACACAGCAACUAGUGACCCUGAGAGGCCCUGAGCCCAGGGUUUGCAGCAGUUUUAUACACUCUUUGGGGAAGGCAGGGACUUCACAUACAUCAUAGCAUCUCUUAGGAAAUCAUCACACACCGUGGGAAAAUCAAACAACUCUCUCAUAAACUAAUCAACUCUUAACAUUGACUAGCACAUUCACUGGCGGGAACAAGUUGGGUAAGGGUGAUUGGCUAGUAAAAGGGGGAUUCGUUUGAACAGAUUGGUUUAAGCCAUGAGGGGUAUUCAUGCUGAACUACAUGGUUUGCCAACAUAUUAUCAACCACCACAAACUACUGGGAGGGUCGUCUGGCAUCCCAGGUAUUUCCCUGUCUCAUGCUGAUUGGUGACUGCUAGGGGGUUGCUAAGGGUCCCCACCAAGCCUGACUGUGUCAGGGACACCUGGCACAGCAGAUCUCUCCUGUUAUUUGUAGAUAAACAACUCAGCAGGGUGUGUAUGUGCCUAGGAG